GACGAACGCUGGCGGCGUGCUUAACACAUGCAAGUCGAACGGAAAGGCCCUGCUUUUGUGGGGUGCUCGAGUGGCGAACGGGUGAGUAACACGUGAGUAACCUGCCCUUGACUUUGGGAUAACUUCAGGAAACUGGGGCUAAUACCGGAUAGGAGCUCCUGCUGCAUGGUGGGGGUUGGAAAGUUUCGGCGGUUGGGGAUGGACUCGCGGCUUAUCAGCUUGUUGGUGGGGUAGUGGCUUACCAAGGCUUUGACGGGUAGCCGGCCUGAGAGGGUGACCGGGGACAGUGGGAAGGAGCGAGGGGCGAGACGACGACGGGGGGCAGCAGUGGGGAGUGGUGGAAGAUGGGCGGAAGGUGGAUGCAGCAAUGCCGCGUGAGGGAGGGGGGCAGUGGGGGGGUAGGAAGAGGACGCCGGGGAAGAAGAGUGAGGGAAGGUAAGGGGUAAAGAAGAAAGGGCGAAGUACGGG
rnacentral:rRNA from 1 species